rnacentral:rRNA from 1 species
UGGGGAAUUUUGGACAAUGGGCGAAAGCCUGAUCCAGCAAUGCCGCGUGUGUGAAGAAGGCCUUCGGGUUGUAAAGCACUUUUGUCCGGAAAGAAAUCCUUGGCUCUAAUACAGUCGGGGGAUGACGGUACCGGAAGAAUAAGCACCGGCUAACUACGUGCCAGCAGCCGCGGUAAUACGUAGGGUGCAAGCGUUAAUCGGAAUUACUGGGCGUAAAGCGUGCGCAGGCGGUUUGCUAAGACCGAUGUGAAAUCCCCGGGCUCAACCUGGGAACUGCAUUGGUGACUGGCAGGCUAGAGUAUGGCAGAGGGGGGUAGAAUUCCACGUGUAGCAGUGAAAUGCGUAGAGAUGUGGAGGAAUACCGAUGGCGAAGGCAGCCCCCUGGGCCAAUACUGACGCUCAUGCACGAAAAGCGUGGGGAGCAAAACAGGAUUAGAUACCCUGGUAGUCCACGCCCUAAAACGAUGUCAACUAGUUGUUGGGGAUUCAUUUCCUUAGUAACGUAGCUAACGCGUGAAGUUGACCGCCUGGGGAGUACGGUCGCAAGGUUAAAACUCAAAGGAAUUGACGGGGUCAUAGCUG